UGGGGAAUAUUGCACAAUGGGGGGAACCCUGAUGCAGCGACGCCGCGUGGGUGAAGAAGUAUUUCGGUAUGUAAAGCCCUAUCAGCAGGGAAGAAAAUGACGGUACCUGAUCAAGAAGCCCCGGCUAACUACGUGCC
rnacentral:rRNA from 1 species